AAAUCAAUUCUUAAAGAAGAUAUUCUACCAUCCCGAGGAGAUAUUUCUUUAUUUAGCAUUGGACCCUCUAUAGUAGUCAUAUCAGUUUUAUUAAGUUUUUUAGUUAUCCCUUUGGGAUAUCAUUUUGUUUUAGCCGAUCUUAGUAUUGGUGUUUUUUACGGAUUGCCAUUUCAAGUAUAGCUCCUAUUGGUCUUCUUAUGGCAGGAUAUAGCUCAAAUAAUAAAUCUUUUUCAAGCGGUCUACGAGCUGCUGCUCAAUCCAUUAGUUAUGAAAUACCAUUAA
rnacentral:rRNA from 1 species